CCUACGGGUGGCAGCAGUGAGGAAUAUUGGUCAAUGGCCGAGAGGCUGAACCAGCCAAGUCGCGUGAGGGAAGACGGCCCUACGGGUUGUAAACCUCUUUUGUCGGGGAGCAAAGCGAGUCACGUGUGACUCAUUGAGAGUACCCGAAGAAAAAGCAUCGGCUAACUCCGUGCCAGCAGCCGCGGUCAUACGGAGGAUUCGAGCGUUAUCCGGAUUUAGUGGGUUUAAAGGGUGCGCAGGCGGAGGUGCAAGUCAGCGGUAAAAUUGCGGGGCUCAACCCCGUACUGCCGUUGAAACUGCAUCCCUUGAGUGCGCGAGAAGUAUGCGGAAUGCGUGGUGGAGCGGUGAAAUGCAUAGAUAUCACGCAGAACUCCGAUUGCGAAGGCAGCAUACCGGCGCCCUACUGACGCUGAGGCACGAAAGCGUGGGUAUCGAACAGGAUUAGAUACCCUAGUAGUC
rnacentral:rRNA from 1 species